AUACGGAGGAUCCGAGCGUUAUCCGGAUUUAUUGGGUUUAAAGGGAGCGUAGGUGGACAGUUAAGUCAGUUGUGAAAGUUUGCGGCUCAACCGUAAAAUUGCAGUUGAUACUGGCUGUCUUGAGUACAGUAGAGGUGGGCGGAAUUCGUGGGGUAGCGGUGAAAUGCUUAGAUAUCACGAAGAACUCCGAUUGCGAAGGCAGCUCACUGGACUGCAACUGACACUGAUGCUCGAAAGUGUGGGUAUCAAACAGGAUUAGAUACCCUGGUAGUCCACACAGUAAACGAUGAAUACUCGCUGUUUGCGAUAUACAGUAAGCGGCCAAGCGAAAGCAUUAAGUAUUCCACCUGGGGAGUACGCCGGCAACGGUGAAACUUAAAGGAAUUGACGGGG
rnacentral:rRNA from 1 species